UCUGUCAGCGCCGCUGCCCGGCGCCGCGCAUGGAUGCGAGGCCGGGGCGGGCGCCUGGGGGGCCGCUUUGGGUGCGACACACGCCGCGCUCGCCCCUAUUGUCCAGCACGAGGAGGAGGAGGAGGAGGAGGCGCCGCCGCACGGCCCCGCUCCGCCGGGGGGAAGGGGCCGGGCCCUGCGGAGAGGGGGGACACGAGGAGGAGGAGGAGGGGAAGGAGCAGAGGAGGAGGAGGAGAGAGGGGAAGCGGGGAGGAAGCCUUCGCCGCGCCCGUCCCCAGUCGGAACAGCCCCGAGCGCACUGGCCCAGGAGGAGGCACAAGCCGGACGGACUCUGCGUGGGUCGCGCGACUGGCGACACGCAAAGCGUCAUCACAAUUAGUCUCCCACAGUUCGUGGUGGAUAGCUACAGGACAUGUGGACGCAUGAGAGAGGACAGUGGAUCAACUGUCUCAUCUUACAAACUUUUAAGCUGUUUUUCUCCCGUUCCUUCAAAUAAAAAUGUCUCAGGCAUUCACAGCAUAUAAGAUUAUAAUGUAAGCAUACAAUAAUUCACAAUAUGUACUAAGCAUAUACUGAUUCAUAGAAAAAUAAUAUAGUCAGCCUUUUUUUAAUCAAGGUAUGUUAGGUUUUACUCUGCAUUCUUUGACGUUUACUCAUAUUUGGUCUGCUUGCAUUGACUCAUGGGUGCAUUUAAAGUAAUGACAAAACACCACCAGUUUCAGUGGGGUCAGGAGUUCCCCCCAGUCAUUUUUCAAAAUUACUUUUGGUUCUUUCCUGCUAAUAACCUAACAAAUUAGUUUUCUGUACUCAGGUAGCAUGCAUUUGCACUCUAGUCAACUUAAAAUCCAUUUAUGAGCAAUAUGUCAUGUUUUGUAUAAAAUUAAAGAUAUAUUUUUUCUUUCACUGAAUAUACAUAGUGUAUAUUUUGAUCGUACAGGGUCAAACUAUUAAAUAAAGAUUACUGAUAAUGUG